rnacentral:rRNA from 1 species
AUUGAACGCUGGCGGCGUGCCUAACACAUGCAAGUCGAGCGGUAACGCGGGAGCAAUCCUGGCGACGAGCGGCAGACGGGUGAGUAAUGCUUGGGUAUCUGCCCAAUAGUGGGGAAUAACCAGUCGAAAGACUGGCUAAUACCGCAUAAGCCCCCUCUUCUUCGGAAAAGGGGGGAAAGGCGGGGGAGUCGCAAGACCUCGCGCUAAUGGACGAGCCCAAGUCGGAUUAGCAGUUGGUGAGGUAACGGCUCACCAAGGCGACGAUCCGUAGCUGGUCUGAGAGGACGACCAGCCACACCGGAACUGAGACACGGUCCGGACUCCUACGGGAGGCAGCAGUGGGGAAUAUUGGACAAUGGGGAACCCUGAUCCAGCGACGCCGCGUGUGUGAAGAAGGCCUGCGGGUUGUAAAGCACUUUUAGUGGGGAUGAAAAGCCUAGAGCUAAUAUCUC